rnacentral:lncRNA from 1 species
AGAAAGAUAUGCAUGGACAUGAGAGAGAAAGAGAGAAUAUGGAGAGAUUGAGGAAGAUAUGUAUGGAAACAUGAGAGAGAGAGAGAUAGAGAAACCCCGAAGUAUGUUUCAUCAUACUCUCAUCAUAUCUCACAUGCACUAUAACAGUCAUCAGAAUUAUUGAGAUGUACAGACAGAUAUAAGAAAUGGAAGCUUAUUGAAAAGAAAUUCUUCUGGCAUAUAUUAGUGCGACAUCUUCAUGGGCAUGUGCACCCCGGCUCUGCUUCCCAGCCUAGCAUCGUUAUGCAUGCAUUUAUCAAAAGGUUUUCUAGUUCAAUAUUCUCUGUAAAGGUAGAGUUUUUCUAGUUCAAUAUUCUCUGUAAAGGUAGAGUUUCUGCGUCACCCUGUUGCAUAUUACGAAGAGUCUUCAUGGUAGGCUGGGAGCUAUUUGAGUUCCUUUGCUUGUCUAACCUCGCAAC